rnacentral:rRNA from 1 species
ACGUCAAAUCAUCAUGCCCCUUAUGUCUAGGGCUACACACGUGCUACAAUGGCAAGUACAACGAGAUGCAAUACCGCGAGGUGGAGCUAACCUAUAAAACUUGUCUCAGUUCGGAUUGUAGGCUGAAACUCGCCUACAUGAAGCUGGAGUUGCUAGUAAUCGCGAAUCAGAAUGUCGCGGUGAAUACGUUCCCGGGCCUU